rnacentral:rRNA from 1 species
UACGUAGGGUGCAAGCGUUAAUCGGAAUUACUGGGCGUAAAGCGUGCGCAGGCGGUUUUGUAAGUCUGACGUGAAAGCCCCGGGCUCAACCUGGGAAUUGCGUGGGAGACUGCAAGGCUUGAAUCUGGCAGAGGGGGGUAGAAUUCCACGUGUAGCAGUGAAAUGCGUAGAGAUGUGGAGGAACACCGAUGGCGAAGGCCGC